rnacentral:rRNA from 1 species
GCAACUAUACGGUGAAACUGCGAAUGGCUCAUUAAAUCAGUUAUCGUUUAUUUGAUAGUACCCUACUACAUGGAUAACCGUGGUAAUUCUAGAGCUAAUACAUGCUAAAAACCCCGACUUCGGAAGGGGUGUAUUUAUUAGAUAAAAAACCAGCGCCCUCCGGGGCUCCUUGGUGAAUCAUAAUAACUUAACGAAUCGCAUGGCCUUGCGCCGGCGAUGGUUCAUUCAAAUUUCUGCCCUAUCAACUUUCGAUGGUAGGAUAGUGGCCUACCAUGGUUUCAACGGGUAACGGGGAAUUAGGGUUCGACUCCGGAGAGGGAGCCUGAGAAACGGCUACCACAUCCAAGGAAGGCAGCAGGCGCGCAAAUUACCCAAUCCCGACACGGGGAGGUAGUGACAAUAAAUACUGAUACAGGGCUCUUUUGGGUCUUGUAAUUGGAAUGAGUACAAUUUAAAUCCCUUAACGAGGAACAAUUGGAGGGCAAGUCUGGUGCCAGCAGCCGCGGUAAUUCCAGCUCCAAUAGCGUAUAUUAAAGUUGUUGCAGUUAAAAAGCUCGUAGUUGAACCUUGGGCCUGGCUGGCCGGUCCGCCUCACCGCGUGUACUGGUCCGGCCGGGCCUUUCCUUCUGGGGAGCCGCAUGGCCUUCACUGGCCGUGUCGGGGAACCAGGACUUUUACUUUGAAAAAAUUAGAGUGUUCAAAGCAGGCCUUUGCUCGGAUACAUUAGCAUGGAAUAAUAGAAUAGGACGUGUGGUUCUAUUUUGUUGGUUUCUAGGACCGCC